AAUUUGCAAAAUUGGGGGAAGCCCUGAGCCAGCCAUCCCGCGGGUAGGAUGAAGGCCUUCGGUUUGUAACGUACUUUAGCCGGAGAAGAAAGGGUAUCUCCGAAUACGAGAUACUGCCGCCGGUAUCUGCAGAAUAAGCACCGGCUACCUACGUGCCAGCACCCGCGGUAAUACGUAGGGUGCAAGCGUUAAUCGGAAUUACUGGGCGUAAAGAGCGUGUAGGCGGUUCGGCAAGAAAGACGUGAAAUCCCGGGGCUUAACCUUGGAACUGCAUUCUUUACUGCCAGGCUAGAGUAUGUUAGGGGGGAGUAGAAUUCCACGUGUAGCAGUGAAAUGCGUAGAUAUCUGGAGGAAUACCGAUGGCGAAGGCAGACCCCUGGGAUAAUACUGACGCUGAGAAACGAAAGCGUGGGGAGCAAACAGG
rnacentral:rRNA from 1 species